rnacentral:rRNA from 1 species
UGUUUGGAGAGUUUGAUCCUGGCUCAGGACGAACGCUGGCGGCGUGCUUAACACAUGCAAGUCGAACGGGAUCCGCCUUCCCUUUUGGGUUGGUGGUGAGAGUGGCGAACGGGUGAGUAACACGUGAGUAACCUGCCCUCUUCUUUGGGAUAACUGCAAGAAAUUGUGGCUAAUACUGGAUAUUCUGCGUCUGCCGCAUGGUGGGUGUGGGAAAGGUUUUUCUGGUGGGGGAUGGGCUCGCGGUCUAUCAGCUUGUUGGUGGGGUGAUGGCUUACCAAGGCUUUGACGGGUAGCCGGCCUGAGAGGGUGGUCGGUCACACUGGGACUGAGAUACGGCCCAGACUCCUACGGGAGGCAGCAGUGGGGAAUUUUGCACAAUGGACGCAAGUCUGAUGCAGCGACGCCGCGUGGGGGAUGAAGGCCUUCGGGUUGUAAACCUCUUUCGCUCAUGGUCUAGGCGCUCUUUUGGGAGUGUUGAGUUGAGUGGGUAAAGAAGCGCCGGCUAACUACGUGCCAGCAGCCGCGGUAAUACGUAGGGCGCGAGCGUUGUCCGGAAUUAUUGGGCGUAAAGAGCUCGUAGGCGGUUUGUCGCGUCUGUCGUGAAAACUAGGGGCUUAACUCCUAGCUUGCGGUGGGUACGGGCAGGCUUGAGUGCAGUAGGGGAGACUGGAAUUCCUGGUGUAGCGGUGGAAUGCGCAGAUAUCAGGAGGAAUACCGGUGGCGAAGGCGGGUCUCUGGGCUGUUACUGACGCUGAGGAGCGAAAGCAUGGGGAGCGAACAGGAUUAGAUACCCUGGUAGUCCAUGCUGUAAACGUUGGGCACUAGGUGUGGGGGCUGUUGUGGUUUCUGCGCCGUAGCUAACGCAUUAAGUGCCAAGGCUAAAACUCAAAGGAAUUGACGGGGGCCCGCACAAGCGGCGGAGCAUGCGGAUUAAUUCGAUGCAACGCGAAGAACCUUACCAAGGCUUGACAUGCACCGGACCGCCGUGGAGACAUGGUUUCCUUUUUGGCUGGUGUGCAGGUGGUGCAUGGUUGUCGUCAGCUCGUGUCGUGAGAUGUUGGGUUAAGUCCCGCAACGAGCGCAACCCUUGUCCUAUGUUGCCAGCACGUUGUGGUGGGGACUCGUGGGAGACUGCCGGGGUUAACUCGGAGGAAGGUGGGGAUGACGUCAAAUCAUCAUGCCCCUUAUGUCUUGGGCUUCACGCAUGCUACAAUGGCGCCUACAGUGUGUUGCGAUGCCGUGAGGUGGAGCGAAUCACUUAAAGGGUGUCUUAGUUCGGAUCGGGGUCUGCAACUCGACCCCGUGAAGGUGGAGUCGCUAGUAAUCGCAGAUCAGCAACGCUGCGGUGAAUACGUUCUCGGGCCUUGUACACACCGCCCGUCACGUCACGAAAGUUGGUAACACCCGAAGCCUGCGGCCUAACCGUUUUCGGGGGGAGUGGUCGAAGGUGGGACUAGCGAUUGGGACGAAGUCGUAACAAGGUAGCCGUACCGGAAGGUGCGGCUGGAUCACCUCCUUU